rnacentral:rRNA from 1 species
CAGUCGCCACGGUAAUACGUAGGUGGCAAGCGUUAUUCGGAUUGAUUGGGUGUAAAGGGUGUGCAGACGGCUUAUUAAGUCACUUGUUAAAUUCUUCGGCCUAACUGAAGGUCUGCAAGUGAUACUGAUGAGCUAGAGGGUGGAAGAGAGAAGUGGAAUUCUCGGAGUAGCGGUAAAAUGCGUAGAUCUCGAGAGGAACACCAAUGGCGAAGGCAGCUUCUUGGUCCAUUCCUGACGUUCAUACACGAAAGCGUGGGGAGCAAACAGGAUUAGAUACCCGAGUAGUCCCUGUCUCUUAUAC